GGAGGAUUGGCAGAGCGGUAAUGCAUCCGAGUGCUAAUCGGAAGUCGGGGUCACACCCGCAGAGGUUCAAUCCCUCUAUCCUCCG
rnacentral:tRNA from 1 species